GAGGUUAUAGAUCAGUGGUAGAGCACAUGCUUAGCAUGCAUGAAGUCCUGGGUUCAAUCCCCAGUACCCUGG
rnacentral:tRNA from 1 species